rnacentral:rRNA from 1 species
AUUGAACGCUGGCGGCAGGCCUAACACAUGCAAGUCGAACGAGUGGCGGACGGGUGAGUAAUGUCUGGGAAACUGCCUGAUGGAGGGGGAUAACUACUGGAAACGGUAGCUAAUACCGCAUACCAUCGGAUGUGCCCAGAUGGGAUUAGCUAGUUGGUGGGGUAACGGCUCACCAAGGCGACGAUCCCUAGCUGGUCUGAGAGGAUGACCCAGCCAAACGGAGAUUGGAACAGGCCCCGAAUCCCACGGGGGGCAGGAAGGGGGAAUUUUGCCGCAUGGGCGGAAGCCCGAUGCAGCCCUGGCGGGGGGAUUAAGAAGGCCCUUGGGGUGUAAAGGACUUUCCGCGAGCAGGCGUUACCCGCAGAAGAAGCACCGGCUAACUCCGUGCCAGCAGCCGCGGUAAUAC